CUAUACUAUUAAUUAAAUGGAACAAUGUUUAGUGGGCCAUUUUUGGUAAGCAGAACUGGCGAUGCGGGAUGAACCGAAAGUUAAGUUAAAGUGUCGAAAUAUAAGCUAAUUUAGAUAUCAUAAAAGGUGUUGAUUUAUAUAGACAGCAGGACGGUGGUCAUGGAAGUCGAUAUCCGCUAAGAAGUGUGUAACAACAUACCUGCCAAAUGAAUUGGCCCUGAAAAUCGAUGACGCUCAAGCUUAAUACUUAAACUUAACCGUUAUUGCGAAUUAAUUAGCUUUAACGAGUAGGAGAACGUGAAUGUAAUUAAAAAGUUUAAUGAAGUGAUUCUAAAUGAAAUUGCAUUUAGUGCAGAUCUUGGUGGUAGUAGCAAAUAUUCAAGUAAAAUUCUUGAAAAACCGAUGAAGAGAUAGGUUUCAUGAGAACAGCAAUUGAUCAUGAGUUAGUCGAUCCUAAAGUAAAGAUUAAUUUCG
rnacentral:rRNA from 1 species